rnacentral:rRNA from 1 species
AACGAACGCUGGCGGCAUGCCUAACACAUGCAAGUCGAACGAGACCUUCGGGUCUAGUGGCGCACGGGUGCGUAACGCGUGGGAAUCUGCCCUUGGGUUCGGAAUAACAGUGAGAAAUUACUGCUAAUACCGGAUGAUGUCUUCGGACCAAAGAUUUAUCGCCCAGGGAUGAGCCCGCGUGGAUUAGGUAGUUGGUGGGGUAAUGGCCUACCAAGCCGACGAUCCUUAGCUGGUCUGAGAGGAUGAUCAGCCACACUGGGACUGAGACACGGCCCAGACUCCUACGGGAGGCAGCAGUGGGGAAUAUUGGACAAUGGGCGAAAGCCUGAUCCAGCAAUGCCGCGUGAGUGAUGAAGGCCUUAGGGUUGUAAAGCUCUUUUACCAGGGAUGAUAAUGACAGUACCUGGAGAAUAAGCUCCGGCUAACUCCGUGCCAGCCGCCGCAGUAACAC